rnacentral:rRNA from 1 species
AGUGAACGCUGGCGGUAGGCCUAACACAUGCAAGUCGAACGGCAGCACAGGAGAGCUUGCUCUCUGGGUGGCGAGUGGCGGACGGGUGAGGAAUACAUCGGAAUCUACUUUUUCGUGGGGGAUAACGUAGGGAAACUUACGCUAAUACCGCAUACGACCUACGGGUGAAAGCAGGGGAUCUUCGGACCUUGCGCGAUUGAAUGAGCCGAUGUCGGAUUAGCUAGUUGGCGGGGUAAAGGCCCACCAAGGCGACGAUCCGUAGCUGGUCUGAGAGGAUGAUCAGCCACACUGGCACUGAGACACGGUCCAGACUCCUACGGGAGGCAGCAGUGGGGAAUAUUGGACAAUGGGCGCAAGCCUGAUCCAGCCAUACCGCGUGGGUGAAGAAGGCCUUCGGGUUGUAAAGCCCUUUUGUUGGGAAAGAAAUCCAGCUGGUUAAUACCCGGUUGGGAUGACGGUACCCAAAGAAUAAGCACCGGCUAACUUCGUGCCAGCAGCCGCGGUAA